GCCAGCGUGGUGUAAUGGUUUGGGUGUUGGACUACAUCUCUGGAGACCAGGGUUCAAAUCCCAGCUUUGCA